GUUAGGGUAUCGGCGCGAAGUGCCAGGGAAGUCGGUGUGACUCCGACGCAGGCCCGCUACGGUGUUCCGCGGCGCAUUUCGGUGCGCCACGGUCAGUCCGAAUACCGGCUUCGCGUUGCCAACACUG
rfam:Mycobacterium heraklionense strain Davo contig_5, whole genome shotgun sequence.